CGGCGUCUAGUUUGCUCGCCUGGUCGGCCCCAUGAGAGUGGCUGCGCCAGUGGCUCUCGUUGACAACGUACAUCAGUAACCUCAGAAAGUCGUUCCUCGCGAACGACAUCGCAACGCCGGCUGUAGCGGCAGCCAUCCGGCCGUUCCCUUUUGCCGUGUGGUAGGUCGUCCCUGCUGAAUCAGCAAUCUCCUCCGAUGCCUGCGUUGUUUAGCGGAGUUUCCGCAUCCAGCAACAGCGGCGGCGACUUUUAUCCAUCCCCAUUUUCCCUUGACCCUGUGUUUGUACGAACAGUCUGGGAACACCACAACAUGUUCAUUUUCUAGGUGAAAUUGUAACCUAUCAACCGCAGGCUCUCUGUACUGAAGAGGAAACUGAAAUAUGCGCCAUGCGGCUUCACAUCCAGAUAUGUACCGGGCAUCAAGGUACCUCUUGAUUUCGUCGUCCCUGUUUGUUAAUUUGCUAGCUCUUUUUUCACUUUGUUGCUCUUCUGCUUCUAUCAAGACAGUUGUUCGAUCUUCUCCUUUGUGGAUGUAUUUGAAUAAAUACUUUAUAGACCUUGAUCUGUUGCACCAUUCAACAUUUAUGUGGGCUUGAUACUUGACCAGUAGGUUUCUAUUGUAUGGCACAACAAAUCUAUUGUCUAGCUUCACUCCAUUCUUGUCCACAGUGUUGCCAUCAUCUCGUCUUCUAUAUACUGGAUAGUUAUCUUCAUCUAUGGUAGUCUCAGUGCAAAAAUUCUUGGGGAAAUGUUUGGCACAACUUUUAUCGACCAUGCAUGGUGAUUUUGGGUGUGCUUGACCACAUGGACCAUGUAUCAUAUAAUUUUGCACUGCUUCGUACCCUUCUGGAUCACUAUUCUUAUCAGGAAUUUCAGCUGAUAUGAUUUUGUCGAUCUGGGAAGGACUUGGAUCUUUAUCAUCUGGGUGUAGAAACACCAGUAUGUGUGCAUGCGGGAGUCCUCUUUUCUGGAACUCUAUAGUGUAGACAACUGUAUGAAUAUGAAAGUAAACAAAUUUGAGAAGAAAUGAGUUAGGACAAUCAUCUAGGAAAGAGUGAAUAUCUACUUAUUAGGUAAACUUACUUGCAAUUGUUUGUCCAAAUCACUUCCCGUUCUUUAUGUCAUUCAUAAGUUCCUUCAGUUUGAACAUGAAUACUCUGGCAACAAUAUCUGGAUGAUCUUCAGGUUUCUGGCCUGGAAUCAGAUCCAACAUAUCUUGUAUUUCCGGCCAUUUUGGAUUGCAUGUAAAAGUAAUGAAGAGAUCAGGAUAGCCAGCCCAACGACAAAUCGCCAUGGCAUCUUGGUAGUUUUGCUGCUUAUUUCUUGGACUGCCAUUAUAUGAUGAGGGUAGUAUGAUUCUUUGUCCAACUUGUUCGGUUCGUGUAUCUCCAUUUUCUAUUGCAUCAUGCAGUCCUCUGUACAGUUCUGUCCUCAACUUACCUUGGUUUGUCCUGUACCAAUUUAGUCUCCACUGUUCAAUGCACGUUGCUGCAUCAACUAAGAACUGCAGGAACAAACGUCCACUCAUUUGCAAUGUUGAAGCUUGGUUCAGACGUUGUUGUAUGCGAUACGCAUAAAACUCCAGCAUUGUUACAUACUUUCUUUUACCUUUGCUGCCUCUUUUAUUUUCAUACUCUAUUUCUGGUCUGAAACCAUCUUCUCCAUAUGGAAAAAGCAAGGGGUACUGCAUUGACAUAUAGCUUGGGUGCAACUCUGAAAUCCUCUGUAACAUUCUGUCUUUGGUCUCAACUAUUAUAUCAAAUUCAUUAUUUUCUCCAUCUUGUUCCCCAAUAAUUAGUGCUGCGACUUCUGAGGCAGAUGGUAGGUUGUAUUGCCGUCCAUCUUUCGACCUUUUGUUGAUCAAUCUUAGUCUUACAUCUUUAAUACGUCGGUUUUGGAAUCUGUCCCUUGCCAUACGAAAUGAUUUGACUAAAACAUUGUGCUCAUCAAGCAUCUCCAGUAGUCCUUUGACAAUGUUUUCAUCUGGUUGUGUCUUACUCUCCGUUGAAGCUGAUGCAUUAAUCCUAUUCCGCACUUCAUUUUCUGUGUCAUGUAUGUACAAUUGGGCAAAUUUUGGUUUCGUCACGUCAUCUUUAGGAAGUAAAGUGCCAAUCUGAUGGUAAUUCUGGCCAUUCAAACGGAAAACAUACGGUCCAGAUGCCUGCUUAUUAAUUUCAUAGUCAACCUUUCCUCCCAUUGAAGUGAAUGCGAACAUCGAGUUGUACAACCUGAUGUUCUGGCGGAAAUUUGAUGAUUCUCCUCUUUCAUUGUAACGUAGUAGCUGUCGGAGAUACAGCGGAGCUUGUUUCAGUGGUGGUAAUUUAACUUUCCCUUCCUUGCAGCAGAGACCAAAUUUUGGAACUGUGAUGUUACCUGUGCUUGUGCUUCUCUCUCCAUGCCACAUAAUGGCAUUGCAAAAUUCACAAACACAAUUUGGUUUUCCCAGAUAUGAAACUUGAGUAACAUCCUUCGCUACAUUAGAUACUUCACAGUUAUUGCCCUUUUCUGUCCUUAGUCGUUUGCUUGUCUUUUUCAGCUGGAGGAUCUCUUUCCUUUUCCGCCUAGCUUCCUUUGCUGCUGCUCUAAUGAUGUCUGAUUGACUAUCAUUAGAUUCGAGUGUUGCUAGUUCGGAGGCUGCUUGCUCAGUGCGUGUUCGAUGCAUGUUGACUGCAGCUGGUGAAUCCUGAAAUAAAUGAGGCACCACAUUGUUCGCAAGGAUGCUGAAGGAGACAUGCAUAUAUUAUUUGUGGAAGGAGAUAAUGAACAUUGCCUGCAAGUACUGCCACACGACCUGUCUGCUCCUUGCUGCUGGCGAGAGGAGGGUAAUGUGUUGCCGGGAUGUGCACACUGUGUAAUUGGUGAUCUGAAUCUCAAGUUUAUCGGCUCUUUCUCUCUGUAAUUCAAGUUAAUACAAAGCAUGUGUACUGAGAUCGGAGAGUUAAUGCAUAUAUUAAUCAUUGCAAGGAUACAUGCAUGUAUUAUUUGUGGAAAGAGAUAAUGAACAUUACCUGCAAGUACUGCCACACAACCUGUCUGCUCCUUGUUGCUGGCGAGAGGACUAAUUAUCGCCUGUAUGUGAUGAAGGAUUAGAUCAGAGGCGAUGUCUUGCCUGGAUGUGCACGAAUUGAGUCGAUAUAGAAUUCUUAUUUGUAAAGAAGCGUAGGGCUAGAGUUUGUAGGUUAGAGUUUGUCAUCUGUACGUUCUAAACCUAUGCAAUACUUGAGCCGUUAUUAUUUUGUGUCA